AAUAAUUGUCAAUAGCUGUAGCCUCGAAUUUGACAUUCUUUUGAAUCAAGGCAUCGUCAGAAGAUGUUCACGUUUACUUAAUCAGCAAAUAUUGUUCAGAUCACUUAGUGAAAAUCUUAUUUUAAUUCAAAUUCAUACCGGCUUUUAGCCAAACACUAUGAGAGCUAAGUGGCGUAAGAAGCGUAUGCGGAGGCUAAAGCGUAAACGUAGGAAGAUGCGUGCAAGGUCUAAAUAAACUGGUACAUUCGUAAUUGGGGACAUAUUAUUUUAAUUUACAACCAUAUUGCAUAUGUAUCUAAUAAAAAAACUUUAAAAAAUCAAA